CAGGUUUCGCCAGGGUUUAUCAUCCUGGUUAGGAACAAAAUGUAAUACCUCUCAAAGUAGGCUGCCUGCCUAAUGUUUUGGGCGUUAAUAUUUCUUCCAUCGGGGUUAACCCCUUUUGCAGGGGAUGGAAUCAAUGCAAAGAGUGCCUCUCUCUGGGAUGGGAACUUUGCUUCUUGGGAUAUUACAGGAUAGAAAUGACUCACACCCUAUUAGAAAUUCACUAUAAACCAAACUGGGACAUUGAAACUCUGCAUAUAUUGAAGUGACAAUAUGGAUUACAGCCUUGCUUUCCUUGGAAUGGGAAUCUGCAUACAACAAUAUUCAGCAUAUAUUGUCAUGAAGCAAACAAAAUCAGUGGUGGUUUUCCUCUCAGAAUUUAAGCAAUGAGACUCGGUGAAAAAGACUAGAAUCAUGAUGAAUACAGGUGUAACCUGAAGAUAACAAGAUGUAUCAUGCACAUGUGUUUACCACUAGGUUUGUUUUAUUUGUAGGUGUGCUGGGACAGAUCUCCCUGUGGAAGAGUUUGGCGUACAGAAAUAUUUCUGAUGGAAAUUAAAAGAAUAUAUAUAUAUAUAAUUUUUUUUUCUUAAGAAAACAUCAAGAAGAUCCAACCAAGGAGAAUGCUCAGCAAACAUACAUGGACAGGUAGAUAAUUCAGUGACACGUGGUUGAAAUUCGUAGCCAUUUUGCCCCCCCUCCCCCUGUGUAUUAAAUAAAAUAUUUACAAACA